GCCUACGGGGGGCAGCAGUAGGGAAUUUUCGUCAAUGGGCGCAAGCCUGAACGAGCAAUGCCGCGUGAACGAGGAAGGUCUUCGGAUCGUAAAGUUCUGUUGAAGGGGAAAAAGAGCGGAGAGAGGAAAUGGUCUCCGAUUGAUAUUACCCUUCGAGGAAGUCACGGCUAACUACGUGCCAGCAGCCGCGGUAAUACGGAGGAUGCGAGCGUUAUCCGGAUUUAUUGGGUUUAAAGGGUGCGCAGGCGGGAGAUCAAGUCAGCGGUAAAAUGUCGGGGCUCAACCCCGGCCGGCCGUUGAAACUG
rnacentral:rRNA from 1 species